GCACCCAUAGCUCAGCUGGAUAGAGUGCUGCCCUCCGAAGGCAGAGGUCAUAGGUUCGAAUCCUAUUGGGUGCGCCA
rnacentral:tRNA from 3 species